GUUAAGCGACUAAGCGUACACGGUGGAUGCCCUGGCAGUCAGAGGCGAUGAAGGACGUGCUAAUCUGCGAUAAGCGUCGGUAAGGUGAUAUGAACCGUUAUAACCGGCGAUUUCCGAAUGGGGAAACCCAGUGUGAUUCGUCACACUAUCAUUAACUGAAUCCAUAGGUUAAUGAGGCGAACCGGGGGAACUGAAACAUCUAAGUACCCCGAGGAAAAGAAAUCAACCGAGAUUCCCCCAGUAGCGGCGAGCGAACGGGGAGCAGCCCAGAGCCUGAAUCAGUGUGUGUGUUAGUGGAAGCGUCUGGAAAGGCGCGCGAUACAGGGUGACAGCCCCGUACACAAAAAUGCACAUACUGUGAGCUCGAUGA
rnacentral:rRNA from 1 species